CUUGCAAUCAAACCUGCAACUUGAGGCUAGCCUGAGUUGCUUGGCAGUUUUAUGCUGAACACUGGUUAGCUGCUGCCUGUCUUCAGCACCUUGGCCUGAGGAACAGAUGUACUCUUGUCCCCAGGGAGGGAGGACAGCUUGCUCUCUGUGCUCUGAAGUGACAGGAUGUGAGGCAGCUAUGAGCUGAAAGCCUUGCCCAGGCAUCAGUGGGACCAGCGUGUGCACCCCGUUAGGCUCCAAAUGUAGCCAGAGAAGGAAUAACACUUUGGCAUUUCUCCUGAUUUUGGGCAUUCGUGGGAAACUCACCCUGGUUGAAUUGGGAUUGUUUAAAAUGAUGAAUCAACUGCUAGGCUCAAGGAUAUUCUGAUGUAGAAAUAUGUUAGUUAUUUAAUAGAGAAAGAUAUGUAUUUAGGACCCACGAAUCAGGUAGUGUCCCUGAACUCAAAAUCAGCGUUGGAGCUGGACUUGUUUUGGGGGAGCGAGGACUACAGGGUUAACUUAGUUUUUUUUAAGUAAGUGGGCUUUUUGGGUUUUUUUUCCUUGUUUAUUUACGUAUACGAGCACAGUAAAGUCUCUCUCUCAACAGCCUGACCUUCCUCAGCUGCUAUUUGUGUAAACUUCAGUAUGACCUUUGCUUAUUUUAUUCUCGCUUUCACAGGCUCUGAGCUGAACAAUUACGUCCUCACGACUUUCUAGAAAGGAACACAGGCAAAACUGAGGUAUUGUGCUCUAAAGCUGAAAUCUUAAAAGUUUUCUUAACCCUAAAUCUGAUCCUGGAGGUCCUCCAGAAUCUGUGAGUUGGUACCUCAAAUCUUGGCCAGCAUAGCUCUUCCAGCACCUGAAAUGAUGCUUUUUCCCCUGAGACAUGCUGAAGUCUAGACAAUACCUUGACGUGUAACCUCAUAUUAGCCUGACUAUUCCCCAUAAUAUUAAUAAGCUUUAACACUUAUUUCUCCUAUGGUGAAAUGGUCACCUCCCAUGUGCUGGAACCGCCAACCAUAUGCCAAGGAGAUCAAGCUGUCAGAUUUGAGAAGAGCAUUGGGAGUAGUGCAUUGUGUCCAAUUCACUGUGCUUGCCAGCCUCUGGGAGAGCAGCUCAGCAGCAGCAGUGGUUGUGCUCUGCUGUUCCUGGGUCCCGUUGCUCGUUCCUGAUAAGCCAUCUCAGAGGGGAUGAUACCAGCCUGAAUUCCCUCUACUUUCCUCUGGUAAGGAGACAGAUGUGUCUUCCUGCUGCAUGAUAUGAUGGCAACUCUGAGUGCUGGACCAUGCUAUGGAAGACAAGUCUCUGCACUGAGGCACACCCCUAAUCCCAGAGGAGGAAGGCUUUUGGUUCA